rnacentral:rRNA from 1 species
UACGUAGGGUGCAAGCGUUAAUCGGAAUUACUGGGCGUAAAUCGUGCGCAGGCGGUUAUGCAAGACAGAUGUGAAAUCCCCGGGCUCAACCUGGGAACUGCAUUUGUGACUGCAUGGCUAGAGUACGGUAGAGGGGGAUGGAAUUCCGCGUGUAGCAGUGAAAUGCGUAGAUAUGCGGAGGAACACCGAUGGCGAAGGCAAUCCCCUGGACCUGUACUGACGCUCAUGCACGAAAGCGUGGGGAGCAAACAGG